GGAGAGAGCAUGAUGACUUCGCCACUUGGGUGGGGUCUGGAUGGAUGAGAAGGCUCGCUCAGUCUUGAGACUGAGGUCUAGAAAUUAGGGUAAACAGAAAGGGGGAAAUCUUAAUCUUCCCAAAUCACUGAUUAUUAAUAAGAAUUUCUCUCAAGGGAACUCCCAGAUAAGAAUUCCCUCUCAUUGUAAAUUGAUGCAUUUUUCUGCAUCUUAUAUUCUUGAGUGAAUUACUAGAGUGCUACCCUAGUACUUAUUAUCUUGCCCAAGGUCACACAACUAGUUGAUGUCAGAGGAAAGGCUUGAAUCCACUUCUUUCUGGCUUCAAGAGAUUCCUCCAUAAUGCCAUAUUCUGGUUGACCAUUGGCCUUCCUGCUAGUCCAGAAGUGUGAGUAAAGCAUUGUGGGAUAACCACAGAUAACUAAGUGACUUUGGUGAUAAAGAUCGGUGACUCAGUGACUUUUCAACUGGCUUUGGAAUUUGUUGUUGUUUGCAGAAGAGCAGGUGACCUUCAGUCAAGCUGUCUAUCAAGCAAGAGAUGUGUGUGAUGUUCACAAAGGAUCAGCAUCUUUGAUAUGAGUGCUUGCCAAGCCCUUUUCAGGAUUGUCCAUUCACCUUUGAUGUCUAUCCAUCACCCAACUCUCAUCUCUGGCUCCAAGAAGGCUCCAAGUGUGUGCAGUGACAAUAUCCCCAGUAAAAUCAUCUCAUCAAAUUGAGGAUAAUCAACAAGCCUCAAAACUGCCAGUGAAUUGGAAGGGGUGGUGGUGAUGUAUAAACCAAGUAUGUGAAGAUUUCCCCUCACAGAAUGCAUGGAUGAGAACAAUUUGUUCUGAAAAAUCACCUGAAGCACACUCUGUGGAGCCCUUAAAAAUUGAUCAGACACCAAAGAUUCCAAGGUCAUCCACAGCUGAAUCCUGGGCCAUCACCAGAACUUUCCUCCUGCCCACUGGACUUUGAUGGUACUAGAAGAGAUAAGGAAGUUGAUGACUUUGUGCAACUCUGCUUCAUUUAAAUCCAGUUUGCUUGCAAGUCAAAAAUAUCAUUCCAUAAUGUCAUAGGUCCUCUUCAAAAGCAAAAGGCAACAACUAUUAAGCAAGCAAUAAAUUAGCAUAUAGCCAAUAUUAAUUAUGUGUCAGGCACUGUACUAAGUUUCAGGAGACAAAUAUAAACAAAAGAAGAGUCAACUCUUUCUUCAAGUGGUUUAUAUUUUAAUGUGUGAUAAUACAAAAAUGGGGAAUUGGCUUAGUUGAGAGGAGAAGGUGUGAUUGGAAUGUGUGAGUGGGGAGAAGGUGGCUAAAUCCAGGCAAUCCGGGGUAGAUAGUCUGGCUCCUUCCCCAAAAUGAAGAUCCUGGGAAGAACUCAUCGGUGAUAAAAGGGGCCCCAAAGGAACACAAUCAGGAGAAAGCUGAGGUAUGGAGGCCAAAUCUAGAAAAUGAAAGAUGGGUGGUAUGUGAUCCCCCUCAAAAUGGAGAACCUAAUAUGAGCCUACUAUAAGCUUACAUUCCAACGGAGUAUGAAACUACAGUUAAACCUAUUAGUAACCACUCCCUGUCCAUGGCUGUGAAUCUCAACCACUAAGGCCCAUUUCUCAGAGUUGUUGAUGUAUGAAGGAAGGCUUUUCUCAGGGGAAAACUACCUGCUUUAGUACAUGCAGUUGGUUGUCUAACCCCUUUCCAGAUUGACUCUCCAACAAAAUUAUUUUUAUUUUUGUCCCUCCCCCCCCACUCCUCUUAUUCCCCCAGACCUGGUCCAGGAAAUGAUCCCUUAAGACAGUGAACAAAACAGAACAAUGAAACAAGAAAAAUCUGGUAGGGAUCUUUGAAAUCAUCUAAUUUAACCCCUUUAUUAACAAUGAGCAAACUGAGGGUUGCAUGUAAACUGUUCAAGAUCACAUAGGUAACAUGUAGCAGAAAUGGGAUUCAGUAUUAUGUCCUUGACUUUUUGUGGAGAGAGGGAAGAUGAGUCAGGGUUAAGUGACUUUCCCAGGAUCACAU